AACUCUCUUUCAUUUUAGUCUCACGAUAGAAAAAAAAAAAUUUCCAGAUCUUUCUCUCCUUCGAUGUUGCUUCUUCUAUCUCUCCGACAACCAUCAGCACCACAUUGUUUCUCCACAGCCGCCCUCCGCCUCUCCACCUCCCGUUCCCUCUAACCCAGUUCACCCAAACCCUAACUCCAUCUCUGCCCGCAUCCACGACGAUUUGGAUCCUCCGCUCUUAUUCUUUUUAAUUCCACUGGAGUUUUAUCAUCUCUGCCUAUUCGACUUAAGUGUAGAGAUGGAGACUCUAAGGAGAAAGAAAGAGCAUUACUCAAGCUUAUUCUUUGCAAUCCUCCUCAACUGCUAGGAAUCAUGACUUCCGGGGACUCGCCCCAGUGAGGGUGAAGAAUUUCACCGAGUCUUUUCAUUUCGGUGGUGAAAAAAUCUGGUAUCGUCAUCAAUGCAAUCAGACUCACAAACGUACAAUCUCUUCCAGAUUUCUCCGUCUUUUCGUUACUUAGUUGUGUGGUGAUGUUUGGUCUUGUAACAAGUGUCACUUGUUGGGUUAGUUAGUGACGAAGACUUCUCCAAAGUCACUGAAGUUAGAUUCUCUCUUGUUGAUGGAACAGGUGGUAUCGAUUAUAAAAGACGGGUGAAUGAAAGUUUUGACACUAGAGAAAUGGAGUCAGUGCAGUGAUUGUACUAUCUCCUGGGUCUUCUUCUCUCACCUUUCUUGGUAAAGUUUGUGUUUUCAAAUAGUUUUUCUCUUGUGAAACAGAGAUGGAACUUAUGUGCGUCUCAAUUGUCAGGUCUCUGGCCUUCUUUGCUGCAGGUUGCUCCCUGAAUGCUGAAGAAUUCGUUAUCUCGAAACUCGGUUUGCCUCGGUGAGUCUCUAGAGAAGCGUGGUAUAAGUCACCUCUUCCCGUUCAGGUUAAAAUCCUUUUCCUGAACAAGCUGAUGAGUCUCUAGAGAAGCGGGGUAUAAGUCACCUCUUCCCGUUCAGGUUAAAAUCCUUUUCCUGAACAAGCUGAUGAGUCUCUAGAGAAGCGGGGUAUAAGUCACCUCUUCCCGUUCAGGUUAAAAUCCUUUUCCUGAACAAGCUGAUGAGUCUCUAGAGAAGCGGGGUAUAAGUCACCUCUUCCCGUUCAGGUUAAAAUCCUUUUCCUGAACAAGCUGAUGAGUCUCUAGAGAAGCGGGGUAUAAGUCACCUCUUCCCGUUCAGGUUAAAAUCCUUUUCCUGAACAAGCUGGUGAGUCUCUAGAGAAGCGUGGUAUAAGUCACCUCUUCCUGUGUUUUGUGUUGUCUGAAGAGGGAUGUGAUAGUUCCUGCACUGCAAAAACGAGACAUCAUAGCUCGUGCAAAGACAUGACCUAGAAAGAAUUUAGCUUUCUGUAUCAUCAAACUCCUCCUGAACAAGCUGUAGACUACUCUGCUUUCAGUUUCAGAUAGAGAAGGCUUUACACGCCAGUAGUCUUCAAGUGCCUUGAAG